rnacentral:lncRNA from 1 species
UCAGAAAUUUAGAGAGAGGAAAAGAGAUUGCCGAGAGAAAGAUAGGAAACGUGAGAAGAAGAGCAUGCACCUCCAAACCUUUUCUCAACCACCAACCUAGAUGGUAGACAAGGAAGAUAUGGGGUUUAGAGAAGAGGAUGAAUCAAAGAUGGCAGAAGAGACAAGGAAAGUGGUUAGAGAAGAAGAAAGUUCUUGAAGAUUAAAGGGUUAUGGUUUAAAUUGGAGACUAAAAUUGGGAUUUUUCACCAUCACCUACUCUCAUGAAAUUAAUGAGGUUUAGCUAGACAUCAGAAAGUUGAAAAGUAUGUCCAGACUACUCGUCAACAUUUCAAUGUAGAGCCCCUUCAUUACCAGAUCAUAGUUAAGGUCGUAGAUUAAAAGUUGUAUUCUGUUGUGUCAUCCAAUUCUAUAUGUAAUAAAAAUGGUGUAUUUUAAGCUUAAAAAGAAGGCUUAAUUACACUUUUGGUCCUCGUGUUUUGGCCUACUCACGAAACUGGUCCAGCCCUUUUAAAACAGAACAAAACGGUCCUUCAAUUAUCAUUUUUUUUGCAUUUUUAGUCCUACCUCCUAUUUUCAAACUCCAGAAACGCAGAGAAAUGACAGUUUUAGGCGGUUUUAGACCUACCCCUAUGCUCAACCACGAAAUCAACAAGGAAUAAAACAUGUGGGCACAAAGAAUCUAUUCUAUUCAGCACACUAACCAA